rnacentral:lncRNA from 1 species
UAAAUUUAGUCUCUAUGUCACUAAAACAACAAAUAGCUAUUUCAUAAUUAGGCAAAUGCACUAUAGAAUGACGUCAUGAUACAAUCAUAACUAAAAAUCGUGGCAAUUUUAAAGAGUGAUCUAGUGCUAGAGUUGAAGCAAAGUGGAGGAAAUGCCCACUUUGUGUUGUGGUCCGGGAUGUGGAUCAGGGUAUUCUACUGAAGGCAAACAUAAUCAUAUAGUUUUUCAGCGGUUCCCUUUUAAAAAUGAAGAACUUCUUCAUAGUUGGGUUCGUGCUAUACCAAGAAAAAACUAGGAAGCGAACAAAAAUUAAAGAUUAUGAAGCAAAUAUUUCUAAAAAGAGGACUAUAAGGAGGGAGGACUGAUUUCAAUCCUCUCUGUCGUCGUUACCUUAAGCUUCAUGCUAUUCCAACUGUGUUUGAGAACAGUGAGGACUUUGAUUUUAUAUGUUCUUAAUCUUUUACUCAAGAAAUUGUUACACUUUUUAAGAGAUACUGAUGAGACUUGCAACGAUCAUCAUCAGAAUCCCUUUAACUUAUCCCUGUCAUGAUAUCUCAUGACAGAUUAAGAUUAGGUCGACCGUAGCCCUAAGCUUCCAGAGGCCAUUGGAUAACGUAACAGAGACGUUUUUGAGUAUACCUCAAGGGAUUUUAUAUAUUAAUAUAUGGUUGUGCUUGGAAAAAACUCCAAAAAACCAGUCAAGGAGAGGAAGGAAAGGGUUUUUACGAUAUUCACCAGAAUUAUUCAUUCUAUUUACAACCAAGGCUAAGAUUUUGUACUCGGACGAAUACUACCUCGUUAGAAUAUAAUAUAAAUAUAAAAUUGCAUAUUUUAUGUUGUUGUUGUUUUUUUGCAUAAUCUUUAAAAAUGAACUAUCAGUACCGGAUCGAAAGAGCGGGGAUCUUGGAAACACUAUUUCAGUAUAACGAUUUCCUUCAGGAUAGUUAUUGCAAUUACAGCAAUGUUUUGAUUGAAUUGCUGUUACUACAGGGAUUAAUUUAAUUUUACAUGUUCUUGAGUCUUUUAUUGCUAUUACCAAGAUUGGGCAUGUUAUAGUAGUGUGGAACACAAAUAAUAGAAUAAACAAUAUAAAUAAUA